ACUCCAGUUGAUCCUGCUGGAGGGUACUGCUAUCGGAGUUCGACUAAGCCAUGCAAGUCUAACCCUAGGACUUCCUGGGGUGGCAGACUGCUGAGUAACACGUAGUCAAUCUACCCUAUAGACGGGGAUAACCUUGGGAAACUGAGGAUAAUACCCGAUAUUCCGCCUAUGCUGGAAUGCUUGGCGGUUUAAACGGGCUGUGAAUUGGAACAGUUCCGCUGUAGGACGAGACUGCGGGAGAUUAUGGUAGUUGGUAAGGUAAUGGCUUACCAAGCCGAUAAUCUCUAGGGGCCAUGAGAGUGGUGGCCCCCAGAAGGGCACUGAGACAAGGGCCCUAGCCCUACGGGGUGCAGCAGGCGCGAAACCUCUACAAUGCUCGAAAGAGUGAUAGGGGGACUCCGAGUGGCGUCAGCUACGCUGGCGUCUUUUGCCAAGUGUAAAUAGCUUGGAGAAUAAGGGUGUGGGCAAGACUGGUGGCAGCCGCCGCGGUAACACCAGCGCCU
rnacentral:rRNA from 1 species